GUCCAGGGAUUUAAAUCGAACCACAGUGCUCCGCUUACCGGGCAGAUGCCAUGUCCACUAAGCUACCCUGGA